GGCCUCUGGCAGCCGAACCAGUGCUAGAUUGCUGUCUUUCUGCAGGUGAGAGCAGGCACGAGAUAAGGCAAGGCCUGUGAUUGGCCAGUGAGAAAGUAAGGCGGGGACAGUUUUUGUAAGGCGGGAGAGAGGAAAAAGAGGAAGGAGAGCCAAAAUGGAGGCCGAGAAGGACAACCCAGAUCCCUGUGGCCAUAAGUGGUAUCAGCUUAUAAAACACAGACCCCUGGGGAAAUAUCUCUGCUGCUCUAAGUGCGACCACAGGCGGCUGACCAGUAGGAAUACGGGAAACUGAGAAAUACGAUCAUCAAUUACUCACAGGGUAGCUGUGAGUACAAGUUCUUGACACUCCCCACUCACCUACACAUUGUAAAGUAGACACCAUGUGUCUUUUCCCAUCGCUUUGUCUGAAGAAGAGGAUGAGAACACUACAUUUUUGGUUGGGUUUGAAUGGAUCUGAAACAAUCGGUCUAUGAUACAAAGUAGACAGACUGCUCUCCAGUGGGCUUCUUAGACAUUCUUUGUCAUGGCUCCUUCCUGCCCUAGAUCCAGCCAUGCCACCGUCAGCAAUUAAAACAGGUUGUACACACCAAAUGCUUACUGACACUAAAUGAAAAGGCAUUUAUUUGAAAACAGUUCUUUGGUAGACAUAUAAUUUUGCCACUUAUUAAGUCAAAACUAAAUUUACAUUCUAAUGAAGAGACGGAUCUGUUUAUUUAUUUUCACGCAAAGAUUAGACUUGAGACUGAAUAUUUGACUCCGAAAGACAGGAAGUGUCUUUACAAACAUCCAGCAUUAAUUGAUAUUUUGAUUUUAUAAUUGUCAACGCUGAGGAUUCCUGCCUCACAUAAAUAGAUCGUACAAGAUGACAAACAUAUGUUUAGGGACAUUUCAGAAAUCGUUGGAAACGCCUUCUUAUUACAAAGCCAAAACUCAUUUCAUAGUUAUUUAUGCAACUCAAACAGUUUUAGAAAUCCUUCUUACUCAAUACGAUCCAAAAACAGAUUAAUUAGAUACAAGUUAAAGAACGACAGUAGAAAAUAUUAAAAACAUUGUUGUUUCCAUAAUUAAAUCAUUGUUUCCAUAAGUGCAGAGAACUUGGCAUGUACAGUAAAAACACAGCAGUUCAUAGCACGUGUAAUCUCCAAUCUGAGCUGAAAUGUUUGGGACGUGCUAUUCACUAGUACUGUAUGGCCUGACAUGUAUGGAAAGUCCAAGUAUGUGUCAAUACCAAGGCUGUUGGGAAGGGACAUCAUGCGACACAGGUACACACUGCCAGCAAUGUCUCCAGUUCAUUAUACGUUUCUUUUGAACUAACUUUGGAUCAUUACAUGUUCACAAACCUUUCCAUGUUUCCAAACCUUUUCAUGACUCUCAUGAUCUCCUCUGGGCUUAGGGUUCACGCUAUAAGAAACUGUGGUCAACAGUAGCUACAGGGAUGGUGGUAAUACAGAAACAAAAAAACAAAAAAAAAACAAGCAAACAAAACAAUCUAGAGAAUGUCAUUCAGCAUAGACUGGAACAUAAAACCAACAGCACAAGGAGAGUUCUCCUCUGUGAGAGGACACAGAUCCUUUGAACUCAAUGUUCAAUAUUCCUCCUGAACUUAAGUCUAGACUCCCCUCAUUAGUAAUUUGUACUUGAACGUUCUAGAAAUACAGCAUAACUAGAAUCAGACAUCUUAGUUUUUAUUCAUCCUCACUCCAAUUCUGUGCUUCCUUCUGGGUUCAUUUACUGUUCUCCAUUCCUCUCAAAGCAGCUCCUGGGGCCUCUUCUCUCCUCGCUUCACUACCAUCUACUGAAUUUGUCCUGACACUACUGGCUUGAACUGAGGCCCACUUCCUGCCUACUGAAUUACUCCAGCGUCCUUAGUCAUUCAUUCCCAUGGCUAAGCCUCAGAAAACCACCCUGUCUAUAAAGAGAUUAUGUCUAGAUUUCUUGGGUAAGAAUAGCUGACACUUGCUCUGGCCCUCCCUUCCCAAGCUGGCUUUAUCCUUCCUUGUCUCCCAUGUUAGGCAGACAUGACAGCAACAAGUACCUGCUUAGAAGAUGCUCAGAGAUCACUAGCACUCACCCCUUUGCGUGGUUCGUCCAUAUAGACUUGCUAUUUUGUGCCAAUACCAUGGCAGAAACUAGAGUACACCGUUGCCAAGGUUAGGUUGUCAAUGUGUUAUUUCCUCGAAGGGACUUCUUUCUCCCUUCUUCCUUUCUUCCUGCCUCCGUCCUUGCUCAGAUGGGGACCAUGCUAUUUGAGUGAUCUAUAGAGAGGUCUUUGUAACAAGAGAUGAACACCUCAGCUCAUAGCAGCAUAAGCAAGCACAGCCCCUUCUCAGACCUUGACUACCACCUCACAAAGCCCAUUAUGUCCAGCCACACCGUUAAAGCUAUCACUGUGAGAUCCCAAACACGCAUGGUGAGACCAUCAUAAUCAGAGAGCGACAGUAACGCCAUGGUAUAUAACUAAUUCAAAUGUCAUCUCCAUUGAUGUCUCCUGUCCCUACCCCAUCCACAGUACAUCCCUACCGGCCACUUAGCUAAAAAUUAACACUAUAAAUCUCUUCCUUAUGUCCUUUGCCAGAUCACCCGGCACUCGCCUCCAUUACAUUAGUCACAUAGCCCUGUGUGGCAGGCUGAGUAAAGGUUACAUAACACAUGCCCAUCUGAAUCCUCAGGCCUUCAAACAUUGCCUUAUAUGGUAAAAGGGACUUUGUGAUUUGAUUACGUUAAGGAUCUCGAAACGAAGAGAUUGCUCUGGAUGACCUUGUGAUAUGAUUACACUAAGGAUCUCGAAACGAAGAGAUUGCUCUGGAUGACCUGACGAAUUCAGUGUCUUCACAAAGAUCCUCAGAAAGAGGUAGAAGACGAGAAGGCUGAAGAAGCAGAGCGUUGUGGUGAAGAAAGGGCCUAUAAACCAAGAACAUAGGUGGUCACUGAAAUUAAGAGCCUCCUGGUACCUAGUUUUCAUUGAAUAAGAUACAUUUUGGAUUUCUGAUCUCCAAAACUGUUAGAGAUCACAUCACAACCCUGAAAGCCACACAGGUCUUUUUAUAAGGCAGUAAACUGUGGAUAAUUUCUGACGCUAAGAAUGAAAAUCCCAAGCUCCCUCUUCUCCUUUGUUCCCCCAACAAAACCCACAGAUGCCACCAUCAGCCCCCUGGAACACUGCCACUGAACUCGGUACUCAGGAAAAGCGACCAGUCAGAUAAAUCAAACAAUUUAAAUCAUUGAAACUAUGCCUUAAAAAUAGUCAUACUUCUGGGAUUACAGAGUGCUUUGAUGUGCCGUGAACAGACAUAACUGUGUGGGUUCCUCACAUUGAGUCCUGGCUAGACCGAAGUGUGUGUACUAUUAGGUAUUAUGAUCUCAUGGGACCACCAUCAUGAUCUAUCACAGAAACUUCUUCAGGUUGUGCAAAACUCUAUUUCAUUCUACAAUUGGAUGUAAUUGCUUCCUUAAAGACAUUUUGUUCCAUGGUGCACUGUCGCUCAUUGUGUUGGGUCAGACAGAUCCAGAAUUCCUGAAUAAGAGUUAGAAACAAUCUCGAAAGCCACCUUCUGGAACAAGAAAGAAUGUUUGCAGCCAUCCUGGGUGUGGCUGGUUGGACUUCUCUAUAGAUCUUCCUUCCCCUAAGUACAAAGCUUAAAAGCAGGUGACUAAAUUCGGCCAUAGUCUAGGGACGAAAUACGAGUGCUGGGGACGAGUCAAGUGCUGGGAUCUGAGUGGUGGCCUGGAUCUGUGGUCACUGGCAUCUGAUCUUACUGAGGACAUAACCGCUCAUUGUCCCCAGCUCAUUGUGAGAUCUUGGAAAAGCUACACAUUCUGAGCAUCUUUGUCUAUAGAAACAAAUAUUUGAUUGAGAGUCGUUCAGGAUUACAUUCAACAAAUAUUUACUGCACACCUGGCACAUUAAAGAUAAUGGUGUAGGCGUUGAGAUUAAAAAUAUAAACA